UUUUUAAUUCAUUUAUUAAAUUCACUUACUAGUUUAUUAAAGUCUUUAAAGAGAGGAAUAAAGACAUCGCCAUUUAUUUUGCAAAGUAUUUCUUUAAUUGCUGCAAGAAUUUUGUGAGAAAUUCAAUCACUCUGUACUCCAGGGAAGAUGAGUGAAAGUGAAUGUUAACUUACAAUUUUAAUAUUCUCAUAAAACCUAAAUAAAGAUUUUAAGUCGAUACAACAUGAGUUCUUUUAAGUGACCAGAACAUCUUGAAUAUGUUUUACAGAUGUUUCUAUGAGCAAAUUAAAACACAAAGAAAAUUAAAAUAGAUUCACAUUAAAAUAUCUAAACAGUAAGUGUAACACUGUGAGUACUAGUAAACUCUACAUAGUUUGUUAUAUUUGAACAAACACUAAACUCCAGGAUGGACGACUUAUUAACAAAAACAUACAUAAGUCACUUCUAAAAAUGACAAAUCCAACUUUUAAAUGCUAAAAAUUCCCCCAAGUUAGUUUUUAGGCACCAGAGAAGUUUUCUUUCAAAAAUUUCAGGUUUUUUUUCCUACAAGCAAAGUAGAAAUAUUUUAAUUGGCACUUCAGCUUUAGAGAAAUUUAGCUUCAAAAAUAUUAUUACAAAACUAAUACUGACUAAUCUCAGACCUCUAUGGCAUGGUUGACACCACAGUAGAUAUUGGCAGUAGAGAAAUCUCAGCUCUGCUCAAUACGGUAAAAGAAUAAUAAAAUUUAAAAUUACAAUAACUUUUGAAUAUGUCCUCUGGUAAUUCGGCAUUCUGUGCUAUCAUUUGCUGUUCAAACUUGACAGUUUGGAAGAAUGCAGAAUUUACAUGAACACUGUCAGAGAAGAUACGAAGACACGCCUUUGAAUAAUAGCCAGCUAAAGUUUGAACGUAUUAAAAGGAAGGCUUGCACGGUUUAGGCAGUUGAAAGUUCAGAAAAGCAUGAGCUCCUUUUCAAUGCUGAAAGUAACUUAGUGACACCUUGGUCUGUAUAGAUAAAUUACAAAUAAUGUCUGCCAGAUCAUCUAAUACAUCAGUGCUUGAUAAUUUGAAUUAUUUUCCUUGACAGUUUCGAACAACUUCUGAAUUUACUAUCUAUUGUAGUUUAAGACACAAUGAGGGAGGACUGAGUCAUGCCUUUCAUGCACUGUAGGCUGAUGGACACACUUCAAAAAACAUGGAUUCAUGUGACUGUCCCCAAACUGACUUUUACCAACUGAAGUCAAUCUGGUUCUUCAGAAAGUCCAGACAAAGCAAUAUUAGAAAAACUAAAUCC
rnacentral:lncRNA from 1 species